GAGUUUGAUCGUGGCUCAGAUUGAACGCUGGCGGCAUGCCUUACACAUGCAAGUCGAACGGCAGCAUGAUCUAGCUUGCUAGAUUGAUGGCGAGUGGCGAACGGGUGAGUAAUACAUCGGAACGUGCCCUGUAGUGGGGGAUAACUAGUCGAAAGAUUAGCUAAUACCGCAUACGACCUGAGGGUGAAAGUGGGGGACCGCAAGGCCUCAUGCUAUAGGAGCGGCCGAUGUCUGAUUAGCUAGUUGGUGGGGUAAAGGCCCACCAAGGCGACGAUCAGUAGCUGGUCUGAGAGGACGAUCAGCCACACUGGGACUGAGACACGGCCCAGACUCCUACGGGAGGCAGCAGUGGGGAAUUUUGGACAAUGGGCGAAAGCCUGAUCCAGCAAUGCCGCGUGUGUGAAGAAGGCCUC
rnacentral:rRNA from 1 species